CAACUGCAGUACCACCAGCAACAAUAUCUGCAGGACCAUCAGAUAUAUUAUAAAAUAGUAUUUAAAAUCAGUUGUCAGCCACAUGUGGUCUAUAUGAUGCAACAUGUUUGCAAUUGUUGGCAUGUCAUUUAAAAAUUUGUAACUAAUUUUGCUUUUUAAUAUUACCAUUAAUAUGACUUUUAAAAUAAUAAAAUUUUUUAUUUGUUUCAAAAAAUACUGUUUUAUUACUUACAAUAUAGUAUGUUAUUACAAGAUACUUCUGGCUUUUUCUCUGUUUCAAACCAGUUUAGUUAUAUCUUUUGUUCACAAAUUUUAUUAGACGCUAUACACAUAGUUUCAUAGGUUUAAACUGAUAAAUAGCACUUUAUUGUUUUUGUUCAUUUUAGAUUAGUAUAGCAAAAAAUUAAUAAGAUAUUCGUUUAUAUAUCUUUAUUUAUAUUUAUGUGCUUAAGUUUAUAUAAUUUUAUAUUAAGUUGUUUCCAUGUGAAAAGUGGUGUUACUUGGCAACGUGUAGUGCAAGAUUGUGAUUCUUGCUAGCCAAGCGGUGUUACUAAUGAUGUUACUUGGCACUUAAAGCCAAGCGGUGUUACUAAAUUGUGGUGUUACUUGGCAGCGUUUAGUGCCAAGCGGUGUUACAAGUGUUGAGCUAGGUUGUGUUGCCUAGCUUUUUUAAUUAUUCUGGAAACACAUAAUCUGAAUAUUUUGUGUUAUGUACAAACAUUUUAUGCUAUGUGUAUUCAGUAGCACUGGCAGGGUCUU